GGCUGCAUUGCCGAUCGAAAUCGGAAGCUUCCUCUUGCGAUUCUCGCCUCCUCCUCCUCGAAAUUCCUACGGAUUUGGAUUGAACAACGCCAAAAAAAAAUACUGGAUCUCGCGGCGGGGGGGCCUCUCGCCUCGGCCGAUUCUCGGAUGAACACGACACGAUCUGUGGCUACCAAGAAGCUUUAGGUGAGGUUUAUGGCGGCCAAAGGGAAGGAGGAAAUGCAAAGCAAUGGGAUUGAUUGCUUGCUUGCUUGCUCGCUCCCCCCUUUUCUCCCCCUUCUGGGGCGGUGGAUUCUUGCAGGGAUUCCAGGUGGUGGUCACAUGCAAAGAUCAGAUUUUUUCCUCCAUGUGAGGCUGGAUUGGGAUCAAAAGAACCGGCUUUGAUGAUUAAUUCGAUUGGGGUUUGCGAAUGGGAAUGGAGCUUUGGAUUAUUAGGGCAUGUGGGGGAGCAUGCCGACGAUGGUUAUCUUCUCCUUUCUUGAGAGAGAGAGAGAAGAGAGAGAG
rnacentral:lncRNA from 1 species